AUAAAGAUAAGGAAGAUAAAGAUAAGGAAGAUAAAGAUAAGGAAGAUAAAGAUACAGAAUAAUACUGGAUAGAUGCAUUAAUGAAUAUAUAGAACGAAUACGCCAACUUAUUAUCACUUGCAGCUAGACGUUCGUGGUGUAAACAUGUCCUUUCCGUGCAAUAUAUGUGCCAAAGUAUUUUCAACACGCGGCAACCUCAAGCGUCAUACUUUGAAUACCCAUGGAGAUGUUCAAAGCAAACCAGUUGAAAUCUCAGCAGGAUCUACAGUUUUGCAGCAUCCUUUCACAUGUAUCGUAGCUGGGUGUACCCAAAGCGGCAAGACUGUAU
rnacentral:lncRNA from 1 species